AUGUGUCUGUCUAUCCCUGUUCUCUCCUCUCUGCACAGGCCAUACAAACGCUUCACACCGCGUGGCCGCUGCCACUCUAACCUGGUGGUCCCAGCGCGCACGACCCACGUGGAGUUCCAGGUCUCCGGCAGCCUCUGGAACUGCCGGUCUGCAGCCAACAAGGCUGAGUUCAUCUCAGCCUAUGCUACCCUCCAGUCCCUAGACUUCCUGGCGCUGACGGAAACAUGGAUUACCACAGAUAACACUGCUACUCCUACUGCUCUCUCUUCGUCUGCCCACGUGUUCUCGCAUACCCCUAGAGCAUCGAGCCAGCGGGGUGGUGGCACUGGAAUCCUCAUCUCUCCCAAGUGGACAUUCUCUCUUUCUCCCCUGACCCAUCUGUCUAUCUCCUCAUUUGAAUUCCAUGCUGUCACAGUUACCAGCCCUUUCAAGCUUAACAUCCUUAUCAUUUAUCGCCCUCCAGGUUCCCUUGGAGAGUUCAUCAAUGAGCUUGACGCCUUGAUAAGUUCCUUUCCUGAGGAUGGCUCACCUCUCACAGUUCUGGGUGACUUUAACCUCCCCACGUCUACCUUUGACUCAUUCCUCUCUGCCUCCUUCUUUCCACUCCUCUCCUCUUUUGACCUCACCCUCUCACCUUCCCCCCCUACUCACAAGGCAGGCAAUACGCUUGACCUCAUCUUUACUAGAUGCUGUUCUUCCACUAAUCUCAUUGCAACUCCCCUCCAAAUCUCCGACCACUACCUUGUAUCCUUUUCCCUCUCGCUCUCAUCCAACACUUCUCACUCUGCCCCUACUCGGAUGGUAUUGCGCCGUCCCAACCUUCGCUCUCUCUCUCCCGCUACUCUCUCCUCUUCCAUCCUAUCAUCUCUUCCCUCUGCUCAAACCUUCUCCAACCUAUCUCCUGAUUCUGCCUCCUCAACCCUCCUCUCCUCCCUUUCUGCAUCCUUUGAUUUUCUCUGUCCCCUUNNNNNNNNNNNNNNNNNNNNUCCCUCUCUGCAGAUGACUUCGUCAACCAUUUUGAAAAGAAGGUUGACGAUAUCCGAUCCUCGUUUGCUAAGUCAAACGACAUCGCUGGUCCUGCUCACACUGCCCUACCCUGUGCUUUGA
rnacentral:lncRNA from 8 species